UAUAUAAACCUCGACAGUCGUACGGGUGAAAAGAGAGUCAAGCAGGCGACAUCAUGAGGAUCACUCUCGUUUUAUUCGUGGUUUUCAUUGUCGUGGCUUCUUGUGGCGACUUCGCAGUUUUGGACAUCAUUAACCAUCCUCAGGAUGCAGAGUAUGGCUACAUAUACGUGUGCGACCUCGUCUACCCACCGGAGCUACAUCAGAAGACCAGGUAUUUCCCACUGGCUCCAAUGAAGCAAAAGGUUGACGAGAGUUGGUUGUCAGAGUAUCAGUUGGCUCUAAAAGAUCAAUUGAAUUACAAACCUGCAGCACAGGGUAAGUUACUUCUCACUUGUAAUGAUAAAACAGAGUAUGUUGUACAUUAUCGUUUAUUGAGUCUGUAUUGUAAGUUAGGUAUGCGGGUUAGCAAAAUUCAUAGAGUGUUGAAAUUUCGUCAGGGUACGAUCUUUGGCCCGUACAAUGAAAUGAACAUUCAGCGAUGCAUUGCAGCACAAAUGGGCUUUGAGAAGCAGUUGUAUAAAAUCAAUUGUAACUCUUUGUACGGCCGUUGUUUACUUUCCUCCAGGCGAUUUAGAUCAAUUAACAUAGCAUUCACCAAAGAAGAGGCCCAAAGAUAUAGCUCCUCAAACGACUGCAUUCGAUUUGAAAUUUUGUCAGAGAAUUGUGUGUUGUAUGAGAUGAAGAAAAGGAAGGUAAAGUGUAGCUUCCCAUUACAGAUUGGUUUUUGUAUUUUAGAUUAUAGUAAGUUGGUAAUGUAUGAAUUUGUCUAUUGCACUCUCUUGGAAAAAUUGAAUUGCCCCAUCACCAUCAUGUAUUCGGAUACCGAUUCUAUCAUCGGUGUGUUUCAUACGUCAGAGUAUGAAGAGGAAAUCAAAAAGAUUGCAGAUGAUCACCUCGAUCUUUCAUCCAAUCCCAUUGAUCAUCCACUCUAUAGCAAUAAAAAUAAAGGGGCAUUGUUCCACUUCAAGGAUGAGACUGGAGGUAGGAUAAUUGAAAAGGUGGUUGCUCUGAAAGCAAAAAUGUAUUCUAUCCGAUUGAGUGACGAUAGUCAAAUUGCUAGAGCAAAAGGUGUUAAGAAACGUAUUGCUCAUAGGGAAUUACAUCACGAUGUAUAUAAAGAUGUUUUGUUUAAUAGUGUGAAGGUAAGUCAUCCACAAAGGACCAUAUGUAGUAAGUGCCAAUGUAUGUAUACAGUGGAAAGAACUAAGCUUGCACUCACGCCCCAUGAUGAUAAGAGAUACCUCUUUAAUGCAACUGAGUCAUACCCAUAUGGAAGCUGUGAAAUUGGUAAUGAGUAAGUAUAUUCUUUAUUACGUGUAUUGUGUUUCUUCUGUUACAGGUGGUGAAGGUUUUUCGGCUGGGUUUUUCUCCUUCACCUGAUUGGCAUCACAAUUGGCACAAUUCCCAGCACAGUUGGCUUUAAUAAAUAUAUCUCAACUUGAUUGGCAUUAAUAAAUAUAUUUUCACUCGUA